rnacentral:lncRNA from 1 species
AAAGUAGCAAGUGCACUAGGUUUAUGUAAAGUGCUGCAUGUAGGGAUGUAAAUGGAUAUGGAUAUUCGAAUUUUAUUCGAAUCCAAAUUCGAACGGAGCGAAUUUUAUCCGAUAUAAAUGGAUAUGAAUUUGGGUAUGGAUAUAAAAAAAAAAUUUGACAGAUUCGGGUUCGGGCAUGGAUAUUUUUAAAAAACCCGAACCCGAACCCGACCUGAAUUCGACUGAAUUCGACCUGAAUCCAAAGAAAUUUAAUAUGAUAUAAUAUAUAUAAAAAAAUUCAAACAAUUAAAUCCAAAUCUAAAGGCCAAAAAAAUACUUACACUUUUAUAAUCUAAAUCAAAAUAUAUAUAUCUUUAUAACUCAAAUCCUAAUAUUCAAAAAUCAAAACUUUCUCAUUUUCCAAACCCUCUCCAUCUCCAAACUUCAAUGGUUAAAACCUUAAAA